UCCGGUUUGUCACCGGCAGUCCCAUUAGAGUGCUCAACUAAAUGUGGCAACUAACGGCAAGGGUUGCGCUCGUUGCGGGACUUAACCCAACAUCUCACGACACGAGCUGACGACAGCCAUGCAGCACCUGUGUAAAGGUUCUCUUUCGAGCACUCCCCGAUCUCUCGGGGAUUCCUUCCAUGUCAAGGGUAGGUAAGGUUUUUCGCGUUGCAUCGAAUUAAUCCACAUCAUCCACCGCUUGUGCGGGUCCCCGUCAAUUUCUUUGAGUUUUAAUCUUGCGACCGUACUUCCCAGGCGGCGUAUUUAUCGCGUUAGCUACGCCACAAAAGGGGUCGAUUCCUUUUACAGCAAAUACGCACCGUUUACGGCUAGGACUAC
rnacentral:misc_RNA from 1 species